CUACCAAAAUCAUUGAGGAGGGGAUGGGACAGACAAUUUCCUGCCCUGCUCACAGCUGUGAUAUAUUGGUGGACGACAACACAGUCAUGAGACUGAUCACAGAGUCCAAGGUGAAGUUGAAGUACCAACACUUGAUUACCAAUAGUUUUGUAGAGUGCAAUCGACUGUUAAAAUGGUGCCCAGCGCCAGACUGUCAUCACGUAGUCAAAGUCCAGUACCCAGAUGCUAAGCCUGUGAGAUGCACAUGUGGCCGGCA